rnacentral:hammerhead_ribozyme from 2 species
UUGCGAAACGCCCUCGACCAAGGCGGUUGAGGGCGUCAUCCCGGAGCGGCGUCCGGGGUCUGAUGAGCAGCCGAAG